AUGCCAUUAACCUUCUGUUGAGAACCGCUACUGGGCUCAAGGAGACGAGCAAAUUCCUUGUUGCUAGGAAACGGUAACCAAAACACACCGUUUUAGUCACCAUGUGCACAACUGGAAGGAAGGCAAUCAUUUCAUAGUCUGUGAAGGUAUGACUCAGUAGCAACGGUAACCACUGCGAUGAAGACUUAAGACCAAAGACAAACAGAAGGGCACUUUGGGGAGUGCCUUAAAUAAUCCAGUUAGUAAAGAUGACAUGAAUUGC